rnacentral:rRNA from 1 species
UACAGAGGGGGCAAGCGUUGUUCGGAAUUACUGGGCGUAAAGGGCGCGUAGGUGGCCUUCUAAGUUGAACGUGAAAUCCCUGGGCUCAACCCAGGAACUGCGUCCAAGACUGGGAGGCUUGAAUCCGGGAGAGGGAUGUGGAAUUCCAGGUGUAGCGGUGAAAUGCGUAGAUAUCUGGAGGAACACCGGUGGCGAAGGCGACAUCCUGGACCGGUAUUGACGCUGAGGCGCGAAAGCCAGGGGAGCAAACGGG